UAGGGAAUCUUCCACAAUGGACGCAAGCCUGAUGGAGCAACGCCGCGUGAGUGAAGAAGGUCUUCGGAUCGUAAAACUCUGUUGUUAGAGAAGAACACGAGUGAGAGUAACUGUUCAUUCGAUGACGGUAUCUAACCAGCAAGUCACGGCUAACUACGUGCCAG
rnacentral:rRNA from 1 species